rnacentral:rRNA from 1 species
GAUGAACGCUGGCGGCGUGCCUAAUACAUGCAAGUCGAACGAAGUCUUCGGACUUAGUGGCGAACGGGUGAGUAACACGUUGGUACCUACCCCGAAGUGGGGAAUAACUGCCCGAAAGGGUGGCUAAUACCGCAUAAUACCGCAAGGUUAAAGCAGUAAUGCGCUUCGGGAGGGGCCUGCGUCCCAUUAGCUAGUUGGUAGGGUAAUGGCCUACCAAGGCGACGAUGGGUAGCUGGAUCGAGAGGUUGACCAGCCACACUGGGACUGAGAUACGGCCCAGACUCCUACGGGAGGCAGCAGUAAGGAAUCUUCCACAAUGGACGAAAGUCUGAUGGAGCAACGCCGCGUGCAGGAUGACGGCCUUCGGGUUGUACACUGCUUUUAUACGGGAAGAUUAUGACGGUACCGUAUGAAUAAGGACCGGCUAACUACGUGCCAGCAGCCGCCGUAA